AUUAAAGCCAACUUCACUAUCCUGGGAAUAAUAUGUUUCUUACACUUUGAAUAAUGCAACAGUAAAACUCUACUAUAAGCUCUUGAAGACAAGGACAUUCUCUGCGAUAAACAUAACUCAGUGCCUUAUAGGAAUAUGCAUGGAUUAGAUACACGUUCUUUAGCGAUACCCUCAGGAAGAACUCCUAGAAGGCAAGAUUCUCUCUCUCUCUCUCUCUGAAGAUGUCUUCAUUUCUCCUUUGGUCUGAAGCAAAAAUUUAUCUCCUAGAAGUUGGCAGAAGAACAGCGAAAUGAAGGCACUAAAUGGGAUCUCAAAAAUUAAAACAGAGAUAUAUACAAAGUCAACAUUCAUUUACUUAAAUUGAACCCCAAGGAUUUUCAAAGUGAAAGGAUUUGAAGAGGAGUGGGGCAGAUAUGAAAUGGGCAGGAUGACUGAUGCUGAUGUGCUUGAAUCUGCCAACAAAGACAAUAUACAUGGAUAAAGAAGUAUAAGGUAGAACAUAAGUGUUGAAGAAAAAGCAUAAAGUCUUCUAGAAAAUUAGAGGGUGUGGAAAAAUUCUGGCUAAGGCACCUAGGAUAUGUACUGCAAGAGGAAUACUUGGAAGGAGUCUUUAAAGAUGCAAUAAAGACACUGGUGUUUCAGAAGUUUAAAA